rnacentral:rRNA from 1 species
UAGUUGCUAUCAUUAUUCUCAGGAAUAGUGGGGCGAAUUAGUGGGACUGCCGUUGUUAAAACGGAGGAAGGAGGGGGNUACGGCAGGUCAGUAUGCCCCGAAACUCUGGGGCCACACGCGGGCUGCAAUGGUAGCGACAAUGAGCUCCAAACUCGAAAGAGAGUGGCAAUCUCUAAACGCUACCACAGUUAUGACUGAGGGCUGUAACUCGCCCUCACGAAUAUGGAAUCCCUAGUAACCGCGUGUCAUUACCGCGCGGUGAAUACGUCCCUGCUCCUUGCACACACCGCCCGUCGUUUCAUCGAAGUUUGCUUUUAGCGAGGUGAUGUUUAAUUGACAUUAUCGAACUUGAGGUAAGUGACGAGGGAAAAGUCGUAACAAGGUA